GACGAACGCUGGCGGCGUGCUUAACACAUGCAAGUCGAACGGAAAGGCCCUGCUUUUGUGGGGUGCUCGAGUGGCGAACGGGUGAGUAACACGUGAGUAACCUGCCCUUGACUUUGGGAUAACUUCAGGAAACUGGGGCUAAUACCGGAUAGGAGCUCCUGCUGCAUGGUGGGGGUUGGAAAGUUUCGGCGGUUGGGGAUGGACUCGCGGCUUAUCAGCUUGUUGGUGGGGUAGUGGCUUACCAAGGCUUUGACGGGUAGCCGGCCUGAGAGGGUGACCGGCGACAUGGGGACUGAGAGACGGACCAGACUCCUACGUGAGGCAGCAGUGGGGAAUAUUGCACAAUGGGCGGAAGCCUGAGGCAGCAACGCCGCGUGCGGGAUGACGGCCUUCGGGUUGUAAACCGCUGUCGCCUGUGACGAAGCGUGAGUGACGGUAAUUGGUAAAGAAGCACCGGCUAACUACGUG
rnacentral:rRNA from 1 species